CCGGCGCACGGGUGAGUAACACGUAUGCAAUCCACCUGUAACAGGGGGAUAACCCGGAGAAAUCCGGACUAAUACCCAUAAUAUGGGCGCUCCGCAUGGAGAGCCCAUUAAAAAGAGCAAUUUUGGUUACAGACGAGCAUGCGCUCCAUUAGCCAGUUGGCGGGGUAACGGCCCACCAAAGCGACGAUGGAUAGGGGUUCUGAGAGGAAGGUCCCCCACAUUGGAACUGAGACACGGUCCAA
rnacentral:rRNA from 1 species